rnacentral:rRNA from 1 species
CCUACGGGGGGCAGCAGUGAGGAAUAUUGGUCAAUGGACGCAAGCCUGAACCAGCCAAGCCGCGUGAAGGAUGACUGCCCUACGGGUUGUAAACUUCUUUUGUAAAGGAGUAAAUUCAGGCACGUGUACCUGUUUGAAAGUACUUUAUGAAUAAGGAUCGGCUAACUCCGUGCCAGCAGCCGCGGUAAUACGGAGGAUCCGAGCGUUAUCCGGAUUUAUUGGGUUUAAAGGGAGCGUAGUGGGGUUUUUAAGUCAGUUGUGAAAGUUUGGGGCUCAACCGUAAAAUUGCCUGUGAUACUGGCAGACUGGAGUGCAGUUGAGGUAGGCGGAAUGCGUGGUGUAGCGGUGAAAUGCUUAGAGAUCAUGAAGAACACCGAUUGCGAAGGCAGCUUACUAAACUGCAACUGACAUUGAGGCUCGAAAGCGUGGGGAGCAAACAGGAUUAGAUACCCGAGUAGUC